AACGUAGGUGGCGAGCGUUAUCCGGAUUUACUGGGCGUAAAGCGUGUGCAGGCGGCUUAUCAAGUGGUGUAUGAAAUAUCCAGGCUCAACCUGGAGGGGUUACGCCAGACUGGUAGGCUAGAGUGCGAGAGAGGGGCGUGGAAUUCCGGGUGUAGUGGUGAAAUGCGUAGAGAUCCGGAGGAACCCCAGAGGCGAAGGCGGCGCCCUGGCUCGACACUGACGCUCAGACACGACAGCAUGGGGAGCGAACGGG
rnacentral:rRNA from 1 species